AGAUUGAACGCUGGCGGAAUGCUUUACACAUGCAAGUCGAACGGCAGCACGGGGGCAACCCUGGUGGCGAGUGGCGAACGGGUGAGUAAUACAUCGGAACGUGCCCAGUCGUGGGGGAUAACUACGCGAAAGCGUAGCUAAUACCGCAUACGAACUCUGGUUGAAAGCGGGGGACUCGCAAGAGCCUCGCGCGAUUGGAGCGGCCGAUGGCAGAUUAGGUAGUUGGUGGGGUAAAGGCUCACCAAGCCGACGAUCUGUAGCUGGUCUGAGAGGACGACCAGCCACACUGGGACUGAGACACGGCCCAGACUCCUACGGGAGGCAGCAGUGGGAAUUUUGGACAAUGGGGGAAACCCUGGAUCCAGCCAUCCCGCGUGUCGCGAUGGAAGGCCGUUCGGGUUGUAAAGCUAACGUUUUGGCGUAGGAAGAACGGCGUUGACUAAUAUUCAGCGUCACUGACGGUACCUGACAGAAUAAGCACCGGACUAACUACGUGCCAGCACGCGA
rnacentral:rRNA from 1 species